AACGAACGCUGGCGGCAUGCCUAACACAUGCAAGUCGAACGAGAUCUUCGGGUCUAGUGGCGCACGGGUGCGUAACGCGUGGGAAUCUGCCCUUUGGUUCGGAAUAACAGUUGGAAACGACUGCUAAUACCGGAUGAUGACGAAAGUCCAAAGAUUUAUCGCCAGAGGAUGAGCCCGCGUAGGAUUAGCGAGUUGGUGUGGUAAAGGCGCACCAAGGCGACGAUCCUUAGCUGGUCUGAGAGGAUGAUCAGCCACACUGGGACUGAGACACGGCCCAGACUCCUACGGGAGGCAGCAGUGGGGAAUAUUGGACAAUGGGCGAAAUCCUGAUCCAGCAAUGCCGCGUGAGUGAUGAAGGCCUUAGGGUCGUAAAGCUCUUUUACCCGGGAUGAUAAUGACAGUACCGGGAGAAUAAGCUCCGGCUAACUCCGUGCCAGCCGCCGCAGUAA
rnacentral:rRNA from 1 species